UAUCAAUUCAACACAUUAAUUUGGUAUGAUUAUGUUUGUUUACAAAUUUUAUAUUUUGUUUAAGUUAGGAUGGCGCGUAGUAAUGUGGCUAUUGUUGUUUAUUGGAAUGGAGAAAUAUUUGAGCACGAUAGCAAUCCAAAGUAUGUUGGCGGUCGUAAGAAAUUAAGUGGUAUUCCAGUGGAUAUUACAUUUACAGAAUUCGAGAGAAAAAUAUAUAGAUUGACCGAUACUUCGAGAGAUGAGUAUCGCCUAAUUAUUAAAGUCCGAUAUUCAACCGGGAUGAAUCAAUUCGAUAUAGUUGAAGUUACGGACGAUG
rnacentral:lncRNA from 1 species